rnacentral:rRNA from 1 species
GAUGAACGCUGGCGGCGUGCCUAAUACAUGCAAGUCGAGCGAACGGACGAGAAGCUUGCUUUUCUGAUGUUAGCGGCGGACGGGUGAGUAACACGUGGAUAACCUACCUAUAAGACUGGGAUAACUUCGGGAAACCGGAGCUAAUACCGGAUAAUAUUUUGAACCGCAUGGUUCAAAAGUGAAAGACGGUCUUGCUGUCACUUAUAGAUGGAUCCGCGCUGCAUUAGCUAGUUGGUAAGGUAACGGCUUACCAAGGCAACGAUGCAUAGCCGACCUGAGAGGGUGAGCGGCCACAAUGGAACUGAGACACGGUCCAGACUCCUACGGGAGGCAGCAGUAGGGAAUCUUCCGCAAUGGGCGAAAGCCUGACGGAGCAACGCCGCGUGAGUGAUGAAGGUCUUCGGAUCGUAAAACUCUGUUAUUAGGGAAGAACAUAUGUGUAAGUAACUGUGCACAUCUUGACGGUACCUAAUCAGAAAGCCACGGCUAACUACGUG